UCAAGAUUCCAUUGCUUUUUUCUGCUGAGUAGUACCCCAUUGUGUAAAUGAGUUUUGGGUUUUUUUGUGGACUCUUUUCCUCCUAUUGGUUUGAAUUUCCAACUUCUAUUUGAUAGUUGUGUUUUGUCAUAUUCUAAUUUAUUUUGUUGAGUUUUCCUCUUAUCUCUCAGGAUCCUGUUAUUUUCUUGUUUUAAACAAGUUUAUUUAUUGAAAGAAUCUGAAAAUAGUAAUGAUGCCUUCAUUAACAGCUAAAAAUUUUUAAAUAUCCAUAUGAAACAUUAAGACUUACAUGAAAACUCCAUGUGUUAUACAACAUUCUUGUAGCAGCUUGCUUCUAGACUUGUGAACACUUUCUUGUUAGAUGUGUUAACCAUGCUCCAGAUACUGCUCUGCUGUGGAUCACAGCAGAGGCCUCUGUGCUCACAAUCACAUAUGAACAGCACAGCUCUGGGGACAAGCUACCACAGCCAACAGCACAGAAGCCAGACCACUUAGGGCCCCAUAGGGGUUUACUUUAUUCAACAAGGCCCCAGUAGGUCCUAACUUUAACAGCAGAAGAGAGCUCAGCGUGGUCACACCUAGAGCUGCCGACCAUCCUUUUUGAGCAGCAUGAGACAGAAGCCGGGCUUCACCCCGGAAGCCAGUAGAAGACUGGGCAGUCCUCCCUUCCUACUCCUGCCAUGAGAGGUGAAGGCAAAACUGAAAGCAGACACCUAAAUGAGUAUCUAUUCCAUAAGGUGUCCCAGACUUGUGAGCUCAUAUGUGGUUGUCAUAGAAACCUGGGGUCAUUAUGGUGACCGUUUUCAAUGGCUACCCAGACGAUGUCCUGGAAAGGAGAAUUCCUGCUAUUUGUACUGAGUGAGCUUCUGGGUUCCCAGAGGAGUUUGGCUCAGUGCUUGGCUGUGGACCUCUGAUUCUGCUUCGAUUAGCUACUGAAUGAAGGCUCUCGGAUGGCAUAUAAGGUUGUCAUCAAUUUCAUUGUAGGGGAAAGACAUUAAAGGU